rnacentral:rRNA from 1 species
CCUACGGGAGGCAGCAGUGGGGAAUAUUGGACAAUGGGGGAAACCCUGAUGCAGCGACGCCGCGUGAGUGAAGAAGUAUUUCGGUAUGUAAAGCUCUAUCAGCAGGGAAGAAAAUGACGGUACCUGACUAAGAAGCCCCGGCUAACUACGUGCCAGCAGCCGCGGUAAUACGUAGGGGGCAAGCGUUAUCCGGAUUUACUGGGUGUAAAGGGAGCGUAGACGGUGCAGCAAGUCUGAUGUGAAAGGUCGGGGCUCAACCCCGGGACUGCAUUGGAAACUGUUGAGCUGGAGUACAGGAGAGGUAAGCGGAAUUCCUAGUGUAGCGGUGAAAUGCGUAGAUAUUAGGAGGAACACCAGUGGCGAAGGCGGCUUACUGGACUGUAACUGACGUUGAGGCUCGAAAGCGUGGGGAGCAAACAGGAUUAGAUACCCUUGUAGUC